rnacentral:lncRNA from 1 species
AUGGCAGUCGAUCCGGUGGAAAGAAAAUAAGAAGAAUAAAACAGGGGACUCUCUCAUGACUAGAAUCGGCGACCAGUCGGUGGCAAUCAGGCCAUUAGCGGCGAUCAAGGGACCCCAAAAUAUUGAUGGAAGAGAGGUAGGGAUUAAUUUCCUUAUUCUGGCAAAGAAAUCGAUGGUAACUCAUCAAGAGAUCUCGGCGGAGAAUCGAGGGAAACACUAAGGUUUCGCCGAUGGUGGAUCAAUAUGAAAGACGGCUCCGAGAGGAAGAGAGAAGGCUUUAUAGAUAGGAGUUUCAGGUCCUCGCUAGAUUUGCCUCAAAAUCCUUUUCCUGAUCGAACUCGGAAGAGAUGGAGUCUUCCUCCUCCGCCUCUUUUGCCUCACGUGCCUCACGUGCCCACGACGUGAGAUUUAGAAAUUUUUUUCUUAAAUUUUUUUUUCUUGUAUGCUUCAAAAAUCCUGCAAAAAAAAUAGGGUCCUUAUAGAAGUAAACUAAAUCCAAAAGCGGUUGAUUUGGUUUUAGUUGCUCGCAUGAACGAUGACAACAACCAGAUUGUGGAAUGUAGACAGAAGUGAACAGCUUUUAAUCUCGACGUUUUUAUCAGCCACCAAGGAAAUCAUUUUUGCUGGAAUAGCCCCC